rnacentral:rRNA from 1 species
UACGUAGGGUGCAAGCGUUGUCCGGAAUUAUUGGGCGUAAAGAGCUCGUAGGCGGUUUGUCGCGUCUGCUGUGAAAACGCGAGGCUCAACCUCGCGCCUGCAGUGGGGUACGGGCAGACUAGAGUGCGGUAGGGGGAGAUUGGAAUUCCUGGUGUAGCGGUGGAAUGCGCAGAUAUCAGGAGGAACACCGAUGGCGAAGGCAGAUCUCUGGGCCGUAACUGACGCUGAGGAGCGAAAAGCGUGGGGGAGCGAACAGG